rnacentral:misc_RNA from 1 species
AAUAAGUUAGGGAUAGAGGCGUUAUCCUUUUGUGAAGUGGAACGGAACAAAAGAUAUAGCCGAUCCCGAAGUUUC